AUGAUUCGUGGGACGUCCUGCCGGUGGUGGCGAGUCGAAGGCGAGCUCCCGUCGUGGUUCCCACUUCGGUUCUUGCUCGCCCGAGGCGGACCCCGAUGAAAUCCUACCGCGGUGCUCUUCACCGAGUGUCGAGGUGGGCCGGCACGUUUACUUUGAACAAAUUAGAGUGCUUAAAGCAGGCCUGUUGCGCCUGAAUACUGUGUGCAUGGAAUAAUGGAAUAGGACCUCGGUUCUAUUUUGUUGGUUUUCGGAACCCGAGGUAAUGAUUAAUAGGGACAGGCGGGGGCAUUCGUAUUGCGACGUUAGAGGUGAAAUUCUUGGAUCGUCGCAAGACGGACCGAAGCGAAAGCAUUUGCCAAGUAUGUUUUCAUUAAUCAAGAACGAAAGUUAGAGGUUCGAAGGCGAUCAGAUACCGCCCUAGUUCUAACCAUAAACGAUGCCAGCUAGCGAUCCGCCGAAGUUCCUCCGAUGACUCGGCGGGCAGCUCCCGGGAACCAAAGCUUUUGGGUUCCGGGGGAAGUAUGGUUGCAAGGUGAACUUAAGGAAUUGACGGAGGGC
rnacentral:rRNA from 1 species